rnacentral:rRNA from 1 species
UACGUAGGGUGCAAGCGUUGUCCGGAAUUAUUGGGCGUAAAGAGCUCGUAGGCGGUUUGUCGCGUCUGCUGUGAAAACUCGGGGCUUAACCCCGGGCCUGCAGUGGGUACGGGCAGACUAGAGUGCGGUAGGGGAGACUGGAAUUCCGGGUGUAGUGGUGGAAUGCGUAGAGAUCCGGAGGAACACCAGCGGCGAAGGCGGCAUCCUGGACUGGUCCUGACGCUCAGGAGCGAAAGCGUGGGGAGCGAUCCGG